CCCAGCUGUAGACAACUGCCUAAGUUGCCUUGUACCCAGGAAGUGUUACUCUGCUGGGAGAAAAGCAACCAAUAGUUGCGAGGCAUUCUGAACCUGGUGAAUGCCAAGUUU
rnacentral:snoRNA from 1 species